rnacentral:rRNA from 1 species
UGGGGAAUAUUGGACAAUGGGCGCAAGCCUGAUCCAGCCAUGCCGCGUGUGUGAAGAAGGCCUUUUGGUUGUAAAGCACUUUAAGCGAGGAGGAGGCUACUUGGAUUAAUACUCUAGGAUAGUGGACGUUACUCGCAGAAUAAGCACCGGCUAACUCUGUGCCAGCAGCCGCGGUAAUACAGAGGGUGCGAGCGUUAAUCGGAUUUACUGGGCGUAAAGCGUGCGUAGGCGGCUUCUUAAGUCGGAUGUGAAAUCCCUGAGCUUAACUUAGGAAUUGCAUUCGAUACUGGGAAGCUAGAGUAUGGGAGAGGAUGGUAGAAUUCCAGGUGUAGCGGUGAAAUGCGUAGAGAUCUGGAGGAAUCCCGAUGGCGAAGGCAGCCAUCUGGCCUAAUACUGACGCUGAGGUACGAAAGCAUGGGGAGCAAACAGG